AUACGUAGGUGGCAAGCGUUGUCCGGAUUUACUAGGUGUAAAGGGCGCGUAGGCGGGCAGGCAAGUCAGAUGUGAAAUCUCCGGGCUCAACCCGGAAAUUGCAUUUGAAACUGCAGGUCUUGAGUAUCGGAGAGGCAAGCGGAAUUCCUAGUGUAGCGGUGAAAUGCGUAGAUAUUAGGAGGAACACCAGUGGCGAAGGCGGCUUGCUGGACGACAACUGACGCUGAGGCGCGAAAGCGUGGGGAGCAAACAGGAUUAGAUACCCUGGUAGUCCACGCCCUAAACGAUGAAUACUAGGUGUGGGGGGACUGACCCCUUCCGUGCCGGAGUAAACACAAUAAGUAUUCCACCUGGGGAGUACGACCGCAAGGUUGAAACUCAAAGGAAUUGACGGGG
rnacentral:rRNA from 1 species